rnacentral:rRNA from 1 species
AUACGUAGGGUGCAAGCGUUAAUCGGAAUUACUGGGCGUAAAGCGUGCGCAGGCGGUUUUGUAAGACAGAGGUGAAAUCCCCGGGCUCAACCCGGGAACUGGCUUUGUGACUGCAAGGCUAGAGUACGGCAGAGGGGGGUGGAAUUUCGCGUGUAGCAGUGAAAUGCGUAGAUAUGCGGAGGAACACCGAUGGCGAAGGCAAUCCCCUGGGCCUGUACUGACGCUCAUGCACGAAAGCGUGGGGAGCAAACAGGAUUAGAUACCCUGGUAGUCCACGCCCUAAACGAUGUCAACUGGUUGUUGGGUCUUCAUUGACUCAGUAACGAAGCUAACGCGUGAAGUUGACCGCCUGGGGAGUACGGCCGCAAGGUUGAAACUCAAAUGAAUUGACGGGG